rnacentral:rRNA from 1 species
AUGAACGCUGGCGGCGUGCCUAAUACAUGCAAGUCGAGCGAACAGACGAGGAGCUUGCUCCUCUGACGUUAGCGGCGGACGGGUGAGUAACCCGUGGAUAACCUACCUAUAAGACUGGGAUAACUUCGGGAAACCGGAGCUAAUACCGGAUAAUAUAUUGAACCGCAUGGUUCAAUAGUGAAAGACGGUUUUGCUGUCACUUAUAGAUGGAUCCGCGCCGCAUUAGCUAGUUGGUAAGGUAACGGCUUACCAAGGCAACGAUGCGUAGCCGACCUGAGAGGGUGAUAGGCCACACUGGAACUGAGACACGGUCCAGACGACUAAGGGAGGCAGCAGUAGGGAAUCUUCCGCAAUGGGCGAAAGCUUGACGGAGCAACGCCGCGUGAGUGAUGAAGGUCUUCGGAUCGUAAAACUCUGUUAUUAGGGAAGAACAAAUGUGUAAGUAACUAUGCACGUCUUGACGGUACCUAAUCAGAAAGCCACGGCUAACUACGUG